UGCCAGCAGCCGCGGUAAUACGGAGGGUGCGAGCGUUAAUCGGAAUUACUGGGCGUAAAGCGUACGCAGGCGGUUGAUUAAGCGAGAUGUGAAAUCCCUGGGCUCAACCCAGGAACUGCAUUUCGAACUGGUCAACUAGAGUAUGAGAGAGGGUGGUAGAAUUUCAGGUGUAGCGGUGAAAUGCGUAGAGAUCUGAAGGAAUACCGAUGGCGAAGGCAGCCACCUGGUUCAAUACUGACGCUCAUGUACGAAAGCGUGGGGAGCAAACAGGAUUAGAUA
rnacentral:rRNA from 1 species